rnacentral:rRNA from 1 species
CCCUAGUACGGCGAGUGAAGCGGCAACAGCUCAAAUUUGAAAUCUGGCCCUUGGGUCCGAAUUGUAAUUUGUAGAGGAUGAUUUUGGUGCGGUAUCUUCCGAGUUCCUUGGAACAGGACGCCUUAGAGGGUGAGAGCCCCGUACGGUUGAAUGCCUAGCCUCUGUAAAUCUCCUUCGACGAGUCGAGUAGUUUGGGAAUGCUGCUCUAAAUGGGAGGUAAAUUUCUUCUAAAGCUAAAUACUGGCCAGAGACCGAUAGCGCACAAGUAGAGUGAUCGAAAGAUGAAAAGCACUUUGAAAAGAGGGUUAAAUAGCACGUGAAAUUGUUGAAAGGGAAGGAUUUAUGACCAGACUUUUUCUGGGCGGAUCAUCCGGUGUUCUCACCGGUGCACUUUGCCCAGUUUAGGCCAGCAUCGAUUUUCGGAGAGGGAUAAAAGCUUUGGGAAUGUGGCUCCUCCGGGAGUGUUAUAGCCUAUUGUAUAAUACCUUUCCGGGGAUCGAGGUACGCGCUUCUGCAAGGAUGCUGGCGUAAUGGUUAUCAAUCACCCGUCUUGAAACACGGACCAAGGAGUCGAACAUUUGUGCGAGUGUUUGGGUGUUAAACCCUCACGCGUAAUGAAAGUGAACGGAGGUGAGAGCCCUUACGGGUGCAUCAUCGACCGAUCCUGAAGUUUUCGGAUGGAUUUGAGUAAGAGCAUAACUGUUCGGACCCGAAAGAUGGUGAACUAUGCGUGGAUAGGGUGAAGCCAGAGGAAACUCUGGUGGAGGCUCGCAGCGGUUCUGACGUGCAAAUCGAUCGUCAAAUCUGCGCA